ACGGAAGGCAGCAGUAGGGAAUAUUGCACAAUGGGGGAAACCCUGAUGCAGCACCGCCACGUGUGGGAAGAAGCAUUUCGGUGUGUAAACCACUGUCGUGAGGGAAUAAGGCAUUGUUUCGGCGAUGUUGAAUGUACCUCGAAAGGAAGCACCGGCAAACUUCGUGCCAGCAGCCGCGGUAAUACGAGGGGUGCAAGCGUUGUUCGGAAUCACUGGGCGUAAAGGGAGCGCAGGCGGAGAUGCAAGCGGACUGUCCAAUCCCGGGGCCCAACCCCGGACCUGCAGUCCGGACUGCACCUCUUGGAUAGUUCAGGGGCAAGCGGAAUUCCUGGUGUAGCGGUGGAAUGCGUAGAGAUCAGGAAGAACACCGAUGGCGAAGGCAGCUUGCUGGGGACUUAUCGACGCUCAUGCUCGAAAGUGCGGGUAGCAAACAGGAUUAGAUACCCUGGUA
rnacentral:rRNA from 1 species